CAGCUCAUGUCAGGCUGCUGCUGUUUCAGUCUAAAACCAGCUGGACUUGUUUAACUUUCCAGCUUCAGAACACUUAUGUUGAAACAGAGGAGGCUGCAGCUGGUUUUCUGCUGGAGACGCCGCCUUGGAGGAUUUUUCAGCUGCUCAGAGGUUUUUCCGUCCACCGUUAUUGAUCCACAGAUUGUUUCUCCUCUUCUACAAGUUUAUUCUGACAACUGGUUCCAGUAGCAUCACCAGGAUUUCUUGUGGGUUUGGAGACCAGAACUAUGUAACAGGAAGUCUGUGAAGGUGUCGAGAUCAAGGACUUGGAAUCCACCAGCAGCAGGAUGAAGAUGACGAGGAUGAUGAAGAUGAGGGUGAUGAAGAGGAGGAUGAAGAUGAAGAGGAUGAUAAUGAAGAUCAGAAUCACAUCGUACGUUUCCUAUUUCCUCUCCAGUCCACGGUACAGAUAGAAAACAAAGAUAUUCAGCUCCAAGAAAAGAACGACUGCAGGAAUAAAAUGCGAAACAGACGAAGAAAUGAAGGAAAACUGGAUGAAUUCUAACAGCAGCAGACUCUCUCUCUCCAACAUGGAGGUCCAUGUGACUGUCAACGAGGAAAACAUGAAGUAAAACACCGACAUCUAGUGGAGGACGGAGGAACAGCAGCAACAUCUGAAGGCUUAAAAUUGAAGAUAUCAACUGAAGCUACAAACUGAAGCUACAACAUCAAACUGAAGCUAACAAAAUCUAACUGAAGCUACCAGCUGAAGCUAAACCAUCAAACUGAAGCUACAAAGUGAAGUUAAACAGCAUCCUGCAGUGACAUGACAUCCCAUCUGGUUUACGUUUAGUUGGACCAUCUUUUAUUCUCCAACAUGACAAUGACCCCAAACACACCUCCAGACUGUGGAAGGACUAUCUGACCUAGAAGGAGAUGAUGGAGAUGACCUGGCCUCCACAGUCACCUGACCUACACCCAAUCCAGAUGUUUGGGAUGAGAUGGACCUCAGAGUGAAGGCAGAAGGACCAACAAAUACUCAGCAUCUCUGGGAACUCCUUCAAGACUGUUGGAGAACCAUUUCAGGUUCUACCUCAUGAAGCUCAUCCAGAGAAUAACAAGACUGUGUGGAAAACUGAUCAAAGCAAAGGGUGGCUAUUUGGAAGAAUCUCACAGAAUGGACAGAUUUUGAGUCAUUACUGGCAAUUUUUAAUUCAAAUUGAAUAAUUUUGAACAAACUUUGAGCUUCCUGGGACUCGUUCAGGGUUAUCUGGGACUUUUUUGAGUCAUUUGGGAAAAGAUUUAACAGAUUUUGGAGCAUUUUUAGUAUGUUUUGAGAAGCUUUGAGUAGUUUUGAGCAGGUUUCCAGUCAUUGUGGACGAUGGAUAAAGUUUGAGUCAGUUUGGAUGAUUUUUCAGUAAUUUAGGACACAUUUCCAGUCACUGAAUACAAGUUCACAAAUUCAUUAUCAAAACGUUUCAAGUCAUUUACUACAAUUAGAGCAGUUUGGGAAAAAUUUCAACUUGCUUUACAAGUUACUCUAGACAGAUUUUGAGUCAUUAUUGGCAAUUUUUAAUUUGUUUGGACAAAUUUGACCAUUUUGAACAAAACUUGAGUUUUUUGGGACUUGUUCAGGGUGAUUUUGGAAUUCUUUUGGGUCAUUUACAACAAGAUUUAACAAAUUUUGGACAUAUUUGGAAUCAUUUUGUAUCAUUUUUGAGACGCUUUGGGAAAUUUUGAUUAGUUUUGAACAGGUUUCGAGUCAUUUUGGAAUAAUUUCAACUUGUUCCACAAGAUAUAUCACACAAAAACUGAGAGUAAAAACAAAGUAAAGCAGAAUUUAAACUCUUGGUGGGAAUAAACUGUUUAAAAUUCACAAACAUCACCACCUUCUAACUAUAAUGUAAGUUCUGACAAUAACAUAAUUCUCAUUUGAAGUCAGUUUUUCCAUAUUUGUUUAUUUUAUAUUCAUAUUCCAGAACAUUCUCAGACAGAAAUGCUUUAAACUGUGAUGGUUUAAACGAUUCAUGCUGAUGGUUGCACCCAAAGUGCAGAACAAUGACGCACACAGAUGUGAUUAUUUCCUCAUACAGUCAGCGUGACUCACCGAUCAUAUCAGUACCUGAGUUAUUACACAGCAUCUCAUAGAGAAUAAAUGGACCUGCAUAAAAAAACAAUCAGUGAUUAACACACAGCAAAGGGCCCUGAGAGAAAAUGGACUUUUAAAAGAGAAAAUAAGUGAAAUAAAUGUAUAUAGAGACAACAAAUCUUUCACAAUAAGCUGAUUUUAAAAAAUUAAAAAAAAAACAUCUCCAGUAACUUUAUCAAUGAUCAGAGUUCUACCAUCCAAACUGUGAAUAUUUCCAGACUUCCAGGUCCUUGAAAUCCGUAGAGGAGAACGUCCCCUGUAGAAAGUUCUAGAGUAGACAACUGGACAGUUGUAGUAUACCUACCGACACGCCCCAUGGAGAAAGU